rnacentral:rRNA from 1 species
CAAGUCGAACGAGAAAGCUCCUUCGGGAGUGAGUACAGUGGCGAACGGGUGCGUAACACGUUGGUGACCUGCCUUGAGGAGGGGGACACCGUGGGAAACCACGGCUAAUACCCCGGAUGUCUAAACUGUUAGAGGGUUUAGACUAAAACUUCGGUGCCUCAAGAGGGGCCUGCGGGCUAUCAGCUUGUUGGUGGGGUAAUGGCCUACCCAAGGCUAAGACGGCUAGGGGGCGUGAGAGCGCGACCCCCCACAAUGGAACCUGAGACACGGUCCCAUACUCCUACGGGAGGCAGCAGUGAGGAAUAUUGCGCAAUGGGGGAAACCCUGACGCAGCAACGCCGCGUGAACGAUGAAGGCCUUCGGGUCGUAAAGUUCUUUUCUAAGGGAAGAUAGUGACGGUACCUUAGGAAUAAGUCCCGGCUAACUACGUGCCAGCAGCCGCGGUAAAACGUAGGGGGCGAGCGUUAUCCGGAUUUAUUGGGCGUAAAGCGCACGUAGGUGGCGCUGUAAGUUAGACGUGAAAGCUCUCGGCUCAACUGAGAGAGGUCGUUUAAAACUGCAGUGCUUGAGGUUAGAAGAGGAGAGCAGAAUUCCCGGUGUAGUGGUGGAAUGCGUAGAUAUCGGGAGGAAUACCAGUGGCGAAGGCGGCUCUCUAGUCUACACCUGACACUGAGGUGCGAAAGCGUGGGUAGCGAACGGGAUUAGAUACCCCGGUAGUCCACGCUGUAAACGAUGGAUACUAGGUGUAGGGGGUCAUUUAACCCCUCUGUGCCGAAGCAAACGCGUUAAGUAUCCCGCCUGGGGACUACGGCCGCAAGGUUAANACUCAAAGGAAUUGACGGGGGCCCGCACAAGCAGCGGAGCGUGUGGUCUAAUUCGAUGAUACGCGAAGAACCUUACCUGGGCUGAACUACGUGGUAGUAGUGAAGCGAAAGCGGAUCGACCCUUCGGGGAGCCUCGAUAGGUGCUGCAUGGCUGUCGUCAGCUCGUGUCGUGAGAUGUUGGGUUAAGUCCCGCAACGAGCGCAACCCUCGUCGCUAGUUACAAGUGUCUAGCGAGACUGCCGGUAUCAACCCGGAGGGAAGGUGGGGAUGACGUCAAGUCAGCAUGGUCU